rnacentral:rRNA from 1 species
GAUGAACGCUGGCGGCGUGCCUAAUACAUGCAAGCCGAGCGAACAGACGAGGAGCUUGCUCCUCUGACGUUAGCGGCGGACGGGUGAGUAACACGUGGAUAACCUACCUAUAAGACUGGGAUAACUUCGGGAAACCGGAGCUAAUACCGGAUAAUAUAUUGAACCGCAUGGUUCAAAAGUGAAAGACGGUUUUGCUGUCACUUAUAGAUGGAUCCGCGCCGCAUUAGCUAGUUGGUAAGGUAACGGCUUACCAAGGCAACGAUGCGUAGCCGACCUGAGAGGGUGAUCGGCCACACUGGAACUGAGACACGGUCCAGACUCCUACGGGAGGCAGCAGUAGGGAAUCUUCCGCAAUGGGCGAAAGCCUGACGGAGCAACGCCGCGUGAGUGAUGAAGGUCUUCGGAUCGUAAAACUCUGUUAUUAGGGAAGAACAAAUGUGUAAGUAACUAUGCACGUCUUGACGGUACCUAAUCAGAAAGCCACGGCUAACUACGUG